CUCUUUUUCAGAAAAAGAAAAGAACCCUCUGCUAGGGUUUACAUUUUUCUCUGCCGCCGCAGCCAACAAGGGCGUCUCACGGCCCGUCGUUGCCCCGGUCUCCGAUUGCGAUGGAGAGGGGAAAAAGACGGCCACGUUAGGCGUACGGAGGCCGUACGGUGACGCGUGUGAGGAGUGGCUCGGGGCGUGGUUCGUGGCGCGCAUGCGAAUGGAGAGCGGCGGCGACUGUUAGUUUGCUGCCUAGGGUUGCUGGGUGCUGCUUGGUGUUGGGCCGUCGGGCAUUAGGCUUAGUGGGUUGUGCGGGUAUUCAGGCUAUUCGGGUUUGGGCCAUUGGGUUUAGAAUGAGGUUUAUGUUAGAUCUGGGCUUUGUAAUACUAAACAUUUAAAAAAGGACUGUUAUAUUUUUUAUUUUAUUUAUUUGUGUUUGUGUUUUUGGGCCCGGGCAAAUUGGGCUUAUUACAGCCAAGAUUACACAUGCCUAAUAUUUCAGUUACAUUGAACGCGUGGUUUAUGCUAA